rnacentral:misc_RNA from 1 species
UGGUUCCGGCAUCGAUGAAGAACGCAGCGUAAUGCGAUAACUAAUGUGAAUUGCAGAAUUCAGUGAAUCAUCGAGUCUUUGAACGCACAUUGCGCCCCCUGGUAUUCCGGGGGGCAUGCCUGUCCGAGCGUCAUUGCUGCCCUCAAGCACGGCUUGUGUGUUGGGCCGCCGUCCCUCCCCGAGGGGAGGGACGGGCCCGAAAGGCAGCGGCAGCAUCGUUGUUUCCGGUCCUCGAGCGAUAUGGGGCUUUGUCACCCGCUCUAGUAGGUCCGGCCGGUGUUGGCCGACGGCUUCGUAAACUUUUCGAAGCACAACCCGAAAAAUAUUUUUUUUCUUCUUCAGGUUGACCUCGGAUCAGGUAGGGAUACCCGCUGA